CUUGGUCAUUUAGAGGAAGUAAAAGUCGUAACAAGGUCUCCGUUGGUGAACCAGCGGAGGGAUCAUUAAAGAGUUGCAAAACUCCCAACCAUUGCUAAACAACCACUGUUUCUUCGGCGGGUGGCCGCAUGGCCGCGCGCACCCCUCUCGGGGGGGACGCACCCCGCCGGAGCACACCAAACUCUUGUCAUUAUUGAUGCUCUGAGUAAAAAACAAAAUUAUUACAACUUUCAACAAUGGAUCUCUUGGCUCUGGCAUCGAUGAAGAACGCAGCGAAAUGCGAUACGUAAUGUGAAUUGCAGAAUUCAGUGAAUCAUCGAAUCUUUGAACGCACAUUGCGCUCUCUGGUAUUCCGGAGAGCAUGCUUGUUUGAGUAUCAGUAAACACCUCAACUCCUUUAUUGUAGUUGGACUUGAGCUAUCCCAACAGGACUUUUGUUCCUGGCGGGAGGCUUGAAAUGCAGGUGCAGCUGGACUUUCUUCUGAGCUAUAAGCUAUUUAUUUAAUCCCUUAACACGGAUUAUUACUUUUUUGCUGCAGCUAACAUAAAGGUUGAAUUUCCAUUGAGCUGACUGAUGCAGGAAUUUGGCAAGGAAUUUUUUUAAUGACUUGUUAAACUCGAUCUCAAAUCAAGUAAGACUACCCGCUGAACUUAAGCAUAUCAAUAAGCGGAGGA
rnacentral:rRNA from 1 species